UACGUAGGGACCAAGCGUUGUUCGGAUUUACUGGGCGUAAAGGGCGCGUAGGCGGCAUGACGAGUCACUUGUGAAAUCUCCGGGCUUAACUCGGAACGGCCAAGUGAAACUGUCAAGCUAGAGUGCGGAAGGGGCAAUCGGAAUUCUUGGUGUAGCGGUGAAAUGCGUAGAUAUCAAGAGGAACACCUGAGGUGAAGACGGGUUGCUGGGCCGACACUGACGCUGAUGCGCGAAAGCCAGGGGAGCAAACGGG
rnacentral:rRNA from 1 species